rnacentral:lncRNA from 1 species
UAUCAAAUCUUUGAGGGGAUGAUCACUCACUGGGGAGUAUAUUUUGAAUAAAUGCUAAGCAGCAGGAACAAUUCUAAGUUUUAGGAAUGCAUCAUUAAGUCAGUGCCUGCUCUUGUAAGAUUCAUAUUCCUUUGUGGGAAUGAAAAAUGUGUAACAAAGCCAGUCUUCAUUUGUGUUAGUUAGUUCUUUAUUGCUGUGAAAGUGGCCGGAGAGAAACAAUUUCAAAGCAUGAAAGAUUCAUUUUGCCUUCUGGUCUUAGUCCAGGUUUUUCUGGGUUCUUUCCUUUAGAAUGUCAUGGCAGCCAGGAACUGUGGCCUAGGUUGCUAACUUCUGGUAGCCAGGAAGCACACAGCAGGGACCCGGGUCAAGAUGCCCCUGGUGACUACUUCCUCUCACUGUCCCUCACCACAAACAUUUCAUCACCUCCUACUGACAGGAUCAAAUCACAGUUACUCAAUGGCCAGAGCCCUCACGAUCCAGUCCACGACCUCUCAAUGAUUGGAUCAACUGGAUCAAAGCUUAAGCACAGGAGCCUUUUGAGAUGUUUCUAUAAUCAAACCGUAUCAUGGUAGGAAGUGAAGUGAUAGCAAAUUCUAUGAAGAAGAAAGAAAAAAGUAGGGUGUGUGUGUGUUGUGGUGGAGCCAGAAAUAAUGUGGGGCAAUUUUACUGGCAUGGCAGAGGAAGAUCUCAAGGAUAUGAGUGAGGAGGAUAUUGUAAGUGGGAGUCACCAUGAAGCUCUGUAAAGAAGAAUCCUGGAAAGAGAUUAUAGAAAGCGCUGACCUGCAAGCCAUAGAUGGAGUUGAGCAGAUGGCAGGGAAAGUUACCACAGAAAGAGAAAAACAUUGGAGUGUCAACUGUGAUACUAUCUGAAGAGAAAAUAUAUUUUAUACCCCUUAAUUUUUUUCUUUAUUCAUCAUUUUUCCUCAAAUCAGAACAAUAUUUUAUGGUUUUAAAAGCUAGGAAUGAUGAUUGGUAAUGUGCAGCAGAGAAAAGGAAAGUCAUAUAACCACUCUUUCCUGAGUCUCCUACAUCUAAUGUCCUCCUUUCUGGGCAUACUCUUGCCACAUCUCUUGUCGUCCUGACCAAACUUAAACUUUCAAGUGCUCACAUUAAUCUAAACUUUCAGUCAUUAAUGUGUUAAAUUAAUUUCUGAAAAUUGAAGCCAUUGUUUUUCUAAAUGGAUGAAGACACUAUACCUCUGAAAGUACCUCAGAACCUAAGUUCUGUGUAGUCCGGGUUCCCAGAGAGUCACUACAGUGUCUGAGCAGUGUCAUUGGGUCACUGCAAACCAGAUCCUCCCAGGUCUCUUCUGUAUGACACAGGGACUGAUUUGUAACACGUGGUUGGGUGCUAAGAGCAGAAUUCUAAAUGUAUGCAUGUCCAUGCUGUAAAGUUUAUUCAGCAUAAAGAAUGUGUGCAACGGAAGUGACUGACUUCCAGUAUGUAAAAAGUAGAGCCAGCAAGAAAUAUUAGAAAUACAAAGUUCAUUUGUUAAUAUCAUUUGUAGUAGCUUUCUAGUGUUUGAGCUUUUGUGUAAUAGAGGUAUGGCUUUUUAAGAUACUUGCCCACCUGGUUUUCCCUUUCAUUAGUUUUAAGCAAUCAAACUAUCUAAACAAUAAACAUUAAUUUAUUGUUAUUAAAAUGUUUAAAUUCACUAGCAUGUUUCUAUUCAACUGUUAAUGCUUGACCAUAAAGUAGCCUUGGUUAAUGAAACUACAUGGGACCUUAGCUUGGUAAAUUGUUUUGAUAAAUAUACUCUCAUUAUUUAUCAGAAAGGUGAUUCACCCAAAACAAACCAGAUUGCAUAUGUGAAUAUGCUGUGGAAGGUUGAAAAAUCUCUAGAUAUAACAUGGUUUUCCUGUUUGGAUUUAGGAGGCUCAAAGUAUAGAUUUAAAACCAUGAAAUUAAAAAUUUGAUGUUACCUCAGAUAGAUGAAGAUGGCAGCAUUUCAGCUGACAUAUAAUUUAACAAAUGAAUCAUGCAUCUUGGAUGUAUUUUAACAAUUAAUUUUAAGC